GCUGAUAUGGCCGAGUCGUUAAGGCGAGUGAUUCGAAUUUAUAUCCCGGAAACUGGGUUAUCACUUGGGCGUUGCCCGCGUAGGUUCAAAUCCUACUGUCAGCG